rnacentral:rRNA from 1 species
UACGUAGGGUGCGAGCGUUGUCCGGAAUUAUUGGGCGUAAAGAGCUCGUAGGCGGUGUGUUACGUCGGCCGUGAAAACCUGCAGCUUAACUGUGGGCGUGCGGUCGAUACGGGCAUCACUGGAGUUCGGCAGGGGAGACUGGAAUUCCUGGUGUAGCGGUGAAAUGCGCAGAUAUCGGGAGGAACACCGGUGGCGAAGGCGGGUCUCUGGGCCGAUACUGACGCUGAGGAGCGAAAGCGUGGGGAGCGAACAGG